rnacentral:rRNA from 1 species
GACAGAGGGUGCAAACGUUGUUCGGAAUUACUGGGCGUAAAGCGUGUGUAGGCGGCUACAUAAGUCGGAUGUGAAAGCCCCGGGCUCAACCCGGGAAGUGCACUCGAUACUGCGUAGCUUGAGUCUCGGAGAGGUUGGUGGAAUUCUCGGUGUAGAGGUGAAAUUCGUAGAUAUCGAGAGGAACACCGGUGGCGAAGGCGGCCAACUGGACGAAGACUGACGCUGAGACACGAAAGCGUGGGGAGCGAACAGG